UCUCCCAUCCACUCAUUUCCAGCCGUUGGAUCGUCAACCGCCUACAAUAAAUACACCUUAUCGUCUCAUUCCUUCUUUGCAUCCAUUCAUUUCCGAAGCUGCCUCGAUCUACUGGCUUCUGUCCUCUUUCUGCAGGCCUGAUUAUUUUCUUGUUCUUUCCGUCAGAUUCAUUUAGAUCGCGAGGCGAUCUACGUCGUGGUUAUGGUUUUUCCGAGUUUUAUUAUGCCUGCUGGUUUUUCUCAAUUUGAUAGCGCUGUCCCUUGGUUUAUACCCUGGCUGCCGUUGUGAAACUUGCGUUUCUUAUGCGCUGCUGCGGCUGUGAAACGACGAGGUUUUGCUGGAUCUGCAACCGUGCUGGAUGGAUCGUUGAAGAAUCGCUUUUCCGUAGUUGAUUGGAAAUCAUUUUUUUGGAUCUGGAAACACGUAGCAUCUUGUGAAGACACGAUCAUCAGAUCGUGGAUAUUGACCGGUAUGGAGUAAUCGAGUUUUAACCAUCAAUUUGUCGGUCUUCGGUGCUCUGGUGGACUGGCCGAGUGGCUCAAGGGAAGUGAUUUGUUUUGUGUCGUGUUUAUUCAUGCGUUCUUGCUGUCUGUAGUCUCGGCUAAUUGUUGAGGAAUCAGACUGUAAAAAAAUGGAAAAAUUCGUGAGUGAAGUGAGGUGAGAUGUGAAAAGUGAGGUGAGAUGUGGUUGUCUGCAUGACCUUUGCCAUGAUGGGUGCGCUCGCAUGGCAGGUCGCCCGUUAAUAAAAGUUUUCGUUUUUGGUUUUGAGGGGAGAUGGCACGGGGAUUUGCCCGGCUCUCCCCCUGUGUGUGGUGUCCUCUCGUCUCUCUCAACUUCCUGCCUCGUUUCUUGUCCAUAUUAUGCACACAUACAAAGUACAAAUACGGUAAUCCAAUCACGCCGUCGUUAUCUUGAAUGCGUCGGUAUGAAAUAAAUGUGUCUAAUCAGGAUCAAAUCAUUUCCAAUAUUUGAGAUGGUACUUCGGGAACAAGGCUUCAAGAGCAUCAACUACAACAGAGGUACAAAUUUGCAUUCUUUAAGUAUAUCAUCAUCAUCUUCUUAUUAAUAUUGCAACAACGUUAACUAGGAAUUUGGUAUCUUUUACUUGGUUUAGUAGUCCAAAUUAUCUAAUUACUCUGGAAUGUAGGAAAUAAUCAAGAACGGAUGACAUGUAAAACUGAUAUCUGCAACCUCAGUUUUUUAUUACAAAACUUUAUAGUACUCGUCAAGCUGGAAGCCUUAACCUUACGUUUGUCUAAUCUAAUUAUGGAGAUAAUAUUAAUCUGUAACCAACUACAUUUACACCUGCAUCAUGAUUAUCCAUUUAUAACUAUUCACGAACAAAAUGCAUCAUGUUUGAUAGGUCGUUACACACUGAAACCUAUAGUGUUCAUUGUUUAAUACCUUCGGUUUCUGUUUUCCUUUGUUCCCCUAUGUUGCGGGAUGUAGCUAUUGUUUAUGAUUGUUGAUGUAUGUUGGCUUAUCACUAUCAACCAUUUGUAUGGGUGAAGGAACUCGUCUUUCUGUAGUCUGUAGUUCAAAGCUAUAGCAUGGUUGUAAUAGAUCAGCUAUUCAGUAGAUGGUUGGUUGCUUAUUGGAUGUGGAGUAUUGUCUCUUCGAGUCUUCUUGAGGAGGUUCUGGCGUGCCCAAGGAUGCUGGAUGCAUUGAUGAUGAUGUGCUGCUGUGGCGUUCAACUGUGGUUUACUUGUCCAGUCUCGCGUCUUCUGCCCCUUUGGAUGCUGGCUGUCUUGAUGAUUUGCUGCUGCUUUGGCUUUGGCUUUGGCUUUGGCUUUGGCUUUGGCUUUGGCUUUGGCUUUGGCUUUGGCUUUCUACAUGAGUGAAUUCCUAAGGCUAUGGUGAUUGUUCUCGUAGGUAUUUUCUUCAGUUGCAUAUAAUCAUGUGCCUCAUUUGUAUCUCCAAAUGUUGUUGCUGAAGAUAAUUGUCAAGUAAGCUGCGAGGAACUUCAGUUCUCUUUACGUUGCAGAGCUUUGUUAUCUGUCCUUCCUAUAUUGAUUGAUUCCUUCUACGGUAGUUUCUGUUUGUAUCACAAAUAUCUUUAUUAAGGUUGCCUUUCUAGUAAAAAUAAGGUUGGGUGGGCGUUUUAAAGUUGUUGGGAUGUGUGAAGCGAUCUGGACCUAGUUGAUAUUGGAUUGAUAUUUUUGUUUUGAAGUUAAAUGCUUGAUUUGUUAUAUUAAUACGAGUAUUUGCUUUGCAUUUUGUAGGGUGUGGUUUGUCAGUUUGGGAUUUGAAGUUAUGACACAGUUGGAAGAUGCAGCGAAUUGACCUAUUAUUGCCUUUGGGAAGAGUUUUAAUUUGGUUAAGAUUUAUCAUCGGUUACAAAACUAUUCCAAGCAUAAUUUUUAUUUUGCAUUUUAAUUUUAA